GAGUUUUUUUCUAGUAGUGGCGUAGUACCCAUAAAAUGGGUACAAAUUUCCUACCACAUUUGAUUCGCUAGUUGGACCAACUGACAAAUGUCAAAAACGCUCCUAAGAAGACAUUAGCAGUGUAAAAAUAUAGAUUUUUAAAUAGAUUUUCAAAGUGAAUUUGAUAUGAGAUUUUGACAUUCAGAUGCUUUUUAAUUGGACAGUGGUCCAACUAGCGGAGGUCCAACUAAAAGCGGUCCAGUUAGAAAAUGUCCAACCAGCGAAUCACGACUGUAUCACAAUACUUUCCAAAAUUCAUUCAUCAGAUUGCAACAUUUUACAAGUCUUCUGCUCGAUUGGAAUGAAAUUGACAGGUCUCGUGCCCGAUUGGAAUGACACUGCCAUAUAAAUGGGAAACAAACGAUUGACAUGUCGAGUCUAUCCAGAAGGAUUCAGCGUCGUUAUCUCGAGAGAGUUCCGUACAGAGAAAUGCGUAACACUGCAUAAAAUCAGAGUGUAUGUAUGCACUCAGCACAAAAUGAGGCCAGAGAACCCGGACAGAACGGAAAAUCGGAAUUGAUAGUCGAAACAUUGUAUUUACAACAGUUAUCGUUAUUAACAACAAUUUUUAUAGUAACAUCAAUUUUUUGGUUUCAGUACUUUCUAAGAUUUUACACAAAAAUGACGCUUUUCGUUUUUUUGUGUAUUUUAUUUGUUAUUAUUUUCAAACGCACUUUUUUCACCAUGGCGUCCAAUUUGACCGCUUUGUGGCAUGUUUUCCAGUUUUUAAAACUUUGGUAUGGAGAUAUUAUAUAUACUGUGAUGAAGAGAAAUCUACCCUAAUAAAAAAUAUUAUACACGAACUUUAACCUAUAUAGUCCACCGAUUCCACAUAUUGCUUGGAUGAUACCCUGAACAGGCCGGCAAUCGUGAACUGAUCCGGGCCAGUUUUUGGCCGCGUGGUCGAUCAUCAAAAACAGACAAAAGCGAGGAUAAAAGGCAACAAAUGUCAGGAGAAUGUUCGGCGGAACAUGAAAAGUUGAAUUGGCAAGAUUUUGCUCUAUUACCGGACAAUGUUGCGCGUUUUCAUUUCGAGUUCCCAUAUGCGAUGUGCUUCCGGAAUCGAUUAUAACGUGGAGAAGAGAUAUUGUGUAAGCAUCUAUAUACUGC